UACACAAAUUUUCCACUUAUAGUGUUCAAUCUAGCUUUUCUACAGAUUGAAGAUUAUAGAUAAAAUAUAUUGGAAUGGAGAUGAUUGAAAAUUACACCGUGCAGGCACAAGAAAAGAAGGAGUAAAGGAAUUGUGAGGUGAAUUAUUGUUUUUGGAAUAAAGGAAUAGAAAACA